AGCGUAGGCGGACAUUUAAGUCAGGGGUGAAAUCCCGGGGCUCAACCUCGGAAUUGCCUUUGAUACUGGGUGUCUUGAGUAUGAGAGAGGUAUGUGGAACUCCGAGUGUAGAGGUGAAAUUCGUAGAUAUUCGGAGGAACACCAGUGGCGAAGGCGACAUACUGGCUCAUUACUGACGCUGAGGCUCGAAAGCGUGGGGAGCAAACA
rnacentral:rRNA from 1 species